rnacentral:rRNA from 1 species
GACGAACGCUGGCGGCGUGCCUAAUACAUGCAAGUCGAACGCAGUGGGGACGGGUGAGUAACACGUGGGUAACCUCCCAUCAGAGGGGAUAAAACUUGGACACAGGUGCUAAACCGAUACUGAUGGAUGAACCCGCGGUGCAUUAGCUAGUUGGGGAGGUAACGGCUCACCAGGGCCACGAUGCAUAGCCGCCCUGAGAGGGUGAUCGGCCACAUGGGGAAUGAGAAACGGCCCAGACUCCUACGGGAGGGAGCAGUAGGGAAUCUUGGGAAAUGGAGGAAAUGUUGCUCGAGAAACGCCGCGUGAGUGAAGAAGUUUUUCGGAUCGGAAAAGUCGUUUGUUAGGGAAGCGGUAUCUAACCAGAAAGCCACGGCUAACUACGUGCCAGCAGCCGCGGUAAUAC